rnacentral:lncRNA from 1 species
CGCAAUGGCUGAGAGAGGCUCAUGAUAAGUGCUCGCCCAUGGACUGUGGCCCUGCUUUGAGCUUUAAAGUUACCUGGAUUCUCCUGCUGGGGAAGAAAAGUCGGGUAUGCGACCACAGGACCCCUAAAAGAUUGAGGUAACUUGUCAAACCAUACUAAAAAUAAAUUAUCUUCUUUUUUACUAAAGUACAAAAUUUGUAUAUCCAGGGAGAGGACGUUAGGUUGCUUAAUAUGAUGUGGGGUAACCUCUAAUAGAAUAUAAAUAUUAGAAUGAAGAGGAAGGGAGCUUCAGAGGUAGACAAUUUUUAAUACCACACAACCCUAACCUUCCCAAAUAUAGAAAUCAACCCAAAAUAAUAAUACAUUAAUUAGUAAAACAUAACCUUUAUUGGAUACAGUCUAAAAUUGCGUUUCAGAAUAUAUAUAGAGUGUGACUUGUAUAGCAAACUAAAUAGCCUUCAUCAGGAUUUAAAAUCCAUCAUAGGUAUAAAUAGGUAUAAGAAUCAUCAUAGGCAUCAUAGGUAUAAAUAGGAAAAUAAUGAUAUUGGAAAAACAGGGGUAAAAAAAGGAAUUGAAAAAAGAUAAUAAAUCAAAUAGAAAACAUCCUAGCCAACCGAAGCAGAAUUGUAGAGUUAGCUGCUUCGGUUGCAAAAAAUGGGGGGUGAAGAAACACUUAAAUAAUGAAAUAAAUGUAGCAGUUGUAAUAACAAUAUAGAAAAAGUUGGAAGGUGUACUAACUAGAAGUAAUUGACAGAUUGAAUAGAGCAAAAGCGGGGGAGGAAGUCAACCAGUAGACAUGUGCAAUUUGUUUCGUUCCGAAUGCAAAUUCGGCCAAAUUUCGGGAAUUGGGACAUUCGGAUGGUUCCGAAUGUCCAAAUUUCCGAAAUGCCGAACCGAACUGAAUUGCCAAAUUUCGGAAGUGCUUUGGAUUUCUGAAAAUUGGCAAAACAAGAGACGGAGUAAAAACUACGGGAAUAAUGACAGGAAUCUAACCCUAACCCUACCCCUAUCCCCAACACUACCCAUAGUGGUUGGAGGUAGGGUUAGGAGUAGGAUUAGAGGUAGGGUUAGGAGUAGAGGUUAGGGAAUUGCCGAAGUCCUAAAUUUCGGAAGUGCCGAACCAAAGUGCGGAAGUCCCGAAUUGACGAAUUUCGGAAGUGCCGAACAGAAGUGGCGAAUUGCCAAAGUCCUGAAUUUUGGAAGUGCCGAACCAAAUUUUUUGCCCAUGCACAUCCACAUUAAUCAGUAAUAUAGGUAGGAGAUAGCCUAUAGAUCUAAAUAGAUAUAACCUAAUGUGCCUUCGUGGGCACCCCUUAAAAAAUAUCUAAACCCUCCUUUCUCCCAAAGUAAGGUAUAAAAAUACCCAUAGAAAACAAAUAGCUAACGAAUGAAGAACACCCUCCCCACUAGACAACUGCUACCUAAUGGUUAAAAAGAAAGAUUUCACCAAGUAAUGGCUCUUCCAGGGGAGAAAUGCGCGUUGGGACAAUUUAGUGCAGUGGUUGGCAAUGAGAUAAGGGACAUUAUGAUAUAAUAGACAGCCACCACGCAAUGCUUUUACUAUGCCUUACUUAAAUCUUUCUAUUUAACAAUUACAGUCGUGGUCCCUGCAAUAUUCUUUAAAGGAGAACUGAAUUUAUAUCAUUGAAUAAAACUUCAAACUUGUGUUAUCUUUAACCCUUUGAUUUUUAUGAGAUGCUCUGUUUUCUUUCAAAUUUAUUAUUUUAAAAAAAAUAGCAAAUUACAUUAAAAAAAAAAAUUCACGCAGUCUAGGCUUUUCCAGGACACACAUUGCAAAUAAGGAGAAAUUGUUGUAUUUUUCAAUCUUCUCUCUGUUUGCAGACUUCCAGAUGCGGGACAGAGCUUAUAACAAUGGCUGACAGGGAGCUAAGAUGGCGGCAGCCAUUUACAGAAUAAAGAGGUGUGGAUUUCUACAGUUAAUUUUAUUUCUAAAAACCCCACAAAUACAUAUUUCUUAAAUACAGAGAUAAAUAAACAUAAUCGAAAGAAUUUGAGAGAAUUGAGGUCAUUUUGGUGGCCCCCAACAUGUUUAAAUCGCUCUUCCAUUAAACUAUUUCUAAGGGCACGACUGACCAUAACCAAUACAGCCAACUGUAGUGGUUAUGGUGCCCAGACUGAUUCUUUAGCCCCUUUUACAUUUUCUUUAUUCGGUUAUAUGUGACUGUAAAAAAAAAAAAAAGUAAAAAAGUAUUUCAAUAAAAAGUGUAAG